AUGCCUGGUUGUCGAACGAGCCGCCAGCGUGAUUUUUCCCUGACCCCUGCCAACCCUAGCUGCCGCACAAACGCCAAUCGCCGCCGGCUGUCGAUCGCUUCCCCGCGUCCCCUCGUGUGUCCUUCGCCUCCCUCUGCUCGAGGCCUCCCCAUCUCGCGCUGCCAAGAGCGACUCCUGGUCUCAGCAGCCGCCCUCACCUCCCUCUCUCCCCAACCAGCCCCGCUCUCCUCUCGCAUCACACAGGCGGCGGCUCAACAUAUGCUGCCGGGUGUGGCGUAUGUGGCAUCUGUGUUGUGCUUCCGCCGGCUGGUUGUGUGUGAUGUGUGCGGCUGGAUGUGCAUCCGUGUUUAUGUGUGUGGCCUUCUACAGGCAGAGGAAGUCGAUGGUUGCAGGCAGAGGAAGCUGCUGGUUGCUGGCAGAGGAGGAUUAUGAUAGUUCCCUUGCUCUUUGCCAGAAAAAUUGAUAGUUCUCUUGAUUUGUUCUGGUCUGGAUUAGUACAAAAGUGCACUGAUAUUUGUUUUGUGGUGCGGGAGUUUCAAGACAACAGGUUUAGCAGGGAUCAAUUGCAACCUUCGUUUAUCUUCUGUUAUGUGAACCAAUUUGUGAUGGCUUCUAAAAGCACAUGGCUGGUACAGAGCAAUUUCUACACCAGAGCCGUCGUCUCCGUCGACUUCGCCGCAAGACAAUCUGCCAUCGCCUCCGCCGACUUUGACGUAAGAUCAUCAGCCGUCGCCUGGACGUACUUUGGCGCAGGAACCUGAAGGAAAGCGGCAACAAAAGCAAGAUCCAAAGGCGCAGUCGUGCAAGGUCGAACCAUCCAUAAAGAUCCUCUUCCUGCAGCUAUGAAAACUGUGGCAAGACCUUUGUUAAUGUGGCUGCCUUGAGGAAGCAUGCUCAUGUACAUGGCGAGAGAGGCAAUAUGUUUUUUCAGGAGCCUGGCUAUUUGAAGGUACCUCUAGCAAAUAUUCAUACCUCACACCUUUACCAAUGCAUACACUAACCGGUGGUGAACUUUCGUGUUUAUUAGCAUUGACAAACUUUUCAGUAAUUUCAUGGUUUAUUUUGACGGACCUUUCUCUAUUGUGCAUAGUUGAUAUUGAUAUAUCCAUCCAUCCAAUCCACGAUGAGUGUUAAUUGAUUAAUCCUGCACAACCAAUAAUUCAGUUAAUUUGAUCCUACUAGAUAUAUACUCCAUCCAAUUCACUGUGAGAAUUUUAAGAACCCAUAGGCAUCAAAGUCUUGGUCUUUUUUCCUGUCCAUGUGUAGGCACAAACAGUGCUCCAGCUCGGUCGGAUUAGAUAUAAGUUUGGUCUCUGCCCGAGCUCCAAUUGCUGCUUGGAUUUCCUUUUUUUUUUCCUCUCAUGCAACCGCAGAUACCAUCUGACGCCUUUUCUUUUCGUGAUUGAAUGGUGCUAAUAGAUUUCAUCAUAUGACUAUUGUUUCUCGGUUAGGGGCCUGUUAUAUUUUUUUCAGCUUGAUGAUGCCGUGGUCGCCCCACCGAUCAAAUCCCCGCACACACGCAACAACUCAACUCUACGGUUUGUACACCACCACCGCUUGAGCAGCCUGGCGAACGAUUUAGGUAAUGUAUCUGUAUAAUAUAAUCCUCCAUUACCAUGCACAAAGACUUCGAUUUAAUUUUAGAUCAGUUUAGUUCAGUGUGGUGAUGCUCAGCAUAAUAAGGUGUUGUGUUGUUAUAUUGAAAUAAAUGAUUCAACAGAGGUGAAUGAUCUCUCUGACUGAUGUUGCCAGUUGCAUCACAUACUUGCUAGCUUCCCAAAUGCAGUAAGCAAUGAGUACUUUCCAAAUGUAGCAGUGAAGACACUCAUUUUCAGAGCAGCUAUACUCACAUGUGCCCCAAACCAUUUAAUUGCUUUAAUUCCUGAACAAAUGUAGGUUGGUUCUCUUGCUUUUUACCAUGGUAACUUUGUAAACAUCAGAAGGCCUAAAUUUGGCAGCACACUCACUCGCUCAACAAUGAGCACUGGAGUCUAAAGCUUUGCUAUUGGCUGAAGAACAUCAAGGUCUUCAUUACAUGAUUAUUAGUUUCUUAAAUAUUUGUAUAACAUCAGAGUACUUUUUAGUUACAGAUUUGGCAAUACCCAGGACAUUAUUCUCCAGUCCAACUAUUGGCUUUCAAGGUGGCAGUGUGAGACAUUGUCGCUAUCACAGGAUCAUGUGGCAACGUAUUUGGUUUUUUGUUGAAAUAUGAUGGAGAUGGCUCUUUUGUAGUUAGAUGUGACUGCCACUCUCAUACCAAAUACUUUGAUGAUGAUACCUACUGGCGGGGAGGGGGGGGGGGGGUUGAAAAUGCAGUUGUUGCAAACAUGAGUGAAGAUGACUGUACGUGGCAUAUGUAUGAUAUAGUCAAAGAAAGUGAUUGGCAUGGCAAGUUUACGUGAGAAACAGUUAAAGAAAUUGCAUGGAAGAUGUUUCAAGAUUAAAGUAAAUGUGUGAGAGAAGAUUGAUGAGCACCAAUAUUAUAUAGUGUAUCAUACUUUUAUAUAUUUGGCAUAAAGAAAAUACUUUGUUCCUUUCUGAUCUUAUUUUGUUGACAUACUAUUUUCAACCUUUUGGGCCUAGCUUAAAAAACAUAACAUGUAGUGAUGUCUUAAGCACGUGUUGUGUUGUUUUUACUACUAAGAGAUCAUUUCCUCCGUAAUGGGCUCAUACUCAAAUAAUUUGUAUGUUUUUGAAUUAUUAUGCCACAUGAUAUUUUAUUUUAUUUCCCGUUGCAACGCACGGUCAUUUUUGCUAGUAUAUAUAUAUAUAGGGUGAUUACCCCUUCUGGAAACGGAAAUCCAUAGAGAAAGCGGCAAAGCCAACUGGAGACAAAGUGGUCAAGCUAACCCGCCCGAAGACCAAAGCCGUAAAACGGACGUCAAAGCGGAAAACGGCUGACCGGAUUAAUAUGGAGCUUGAUGAUGAUACUGAUGACCCAGAAG